rnacentral:rRNA from 1 species
CCUACGGGAUGCAGCAGUGGGGAAUAUUGGGCAAUGGGCGCAAGCCUGACCCAGCAACGCCGCGUGAAGGAAGAAGGCUUUCGGGUUGUAAACUUCUUUUCUCAGGGACGAAGCAAGUGACGGUACCUGAGGAAUAAGCCACGGCUAACUACGUGCCAGCAGCCGCGGUAAUACGUAGGUGGCAAGCGUUAUCCGGAUUUACUGGGUGUAAAGGGCGUGUAGGCGGGAAAGCAAGUCAGGUGUUAAAACCAUGGGCUCAACCUAUGGCCGGCAGUUGAAACUGUUUUUCUUGAGUACUAGGGAGGCAGACGGAAUGCCGGGUGUAGCGGUGAAAUGCGUAGAUAUUAGGAGGAACAC